rnacentral:rRNA from 1 species
AUACGUAGGGGGCGAGCGUUGUCCGGAAUGAUUGGGCGUAAAGGGCGCGUAGGCGGCGCGGUAAGUCUGGAGUGAAAGUCCUGCUUUCAAGGUGGGAAUUGCUUUGGAUACUGCCGCGCUUGAGUGCAGGAGAGGUUAUCGGAAUUCCCGGUGUAGCGGUGAAAUGCGUAGAGAUCGGGAGGAACACCAGUGGUGAAGGCGGGUAACUGGACUGCAACUGACUCAGAGGAGCGAAAAUGUGGUGAGCAAACAGGAUUAGAUACCCUGGUGGUCCACACCGUAAUCGAUGAGCACUAGGUGUCGGGCUCGCAAGAGUCCGGUGCCUCAGUUAACGCAUUAAGAGCUCCGCCUGGGGAGUACGGACGCAAGUAGGAAACUCAAAGAGAUUGACGUGG